AGCAUGCUUCCUGUUUACUCAACAGCUGGCUAAUCAGCUUACACCGAGAAAACGACUGUAACCUGGUGACUUAAGUGCAUGAAGACGCACUUAAUCAUGAAUUCCUGAAAGGUUGUUUCGGUGGUUCCUGUUACAUUUUAAAACACUUAGGACUCAAGGCUUCUAAUAUUUGCUAUUCUAUCCAAACAUAAACAGAUACAGAACAACUCACAAUUAUAACGUAGAAGGUUAAUAAAUGUCUUCUCUUUAACUUAUGGUGCCCUGGAGGUGGAUGGAUGAAUUCCACGAGAGAAUGGCUCAGCAGGAUGAACACAGCACUGCUGUUCUGUGCUGGAGGCUGGAGCAGUGAGGGCAACAGGGAGAGCAAAGGCUUUGAGGGAGCACCGGGAUCUGGGGAAUGCGAGCGUCCGCCUCGCUUUUCUUGGCACGUCGCGAGUGACACUGACUGACGGACGGCGCCUCUGGGAGACGACCAGAGGGUGUGAACCGGUGAGUGUCGGCGUAUGUGACUGCAUCCGUCUCGGCGUGCGUCUCUGGUGACAAAAGCCCAGAUGUGUACGUGAGUGACAGGGCACUCGUGUCCAUCACAGCGGCCCAUUGCUGUACGUGUUAGCGGGGCCCUAGCUCAUAUCCUCUGCAAACAGCUACUACUGUGUGAAUGCAGGGUUAACGGUGCCUGUGUGCUUAUCGCACACAGCCAUCUCACAAUGACAUCAGCCUCGAUGCGCCGUUCAGGAUCUAGAUUUGUCUGCUAACCAGGACAAGUAGAAACAUUUCAUAACGGUGGGAGAAUCCACAUCCAUUCAUGUGGUUUGAGUUGUGAUUACGGUUUCCUCGCAGAUUGAUACGCUCACGCUGACAGACGACCCGGCCGAGGGUGUUGGGCUUUGUUGCUGGGCCAAGGCGCUCAGGUGAGCAUUCCCGCCCAGACAUAAACAGAUCGUUAACAAUACAGACGCAGACACAACACAGCAGACGCAGAUCAGAGACAGGGCCGCGAAAGCGAACCCGCGGAGUCGGCCGGCGCAGACACAUGCGCACGCAUACUGCAACAUGACGGAACUGUUGCCCUAAUAUAAAACACACAUCUCAGGCUACUAGCGGCGUAAUUGGCUCCAUAUAGCUAUAGAUUAUAGACUUGCCUUGAAAGCUUUUCGCUGGAGGCUCAGCUUUUCGGCUUCACUAAUCAUUUCUUAGCAAACACAUGCAGAUGUUAAAGGUUAGUGCAUAAUUACAGUCAUGGGACGGUAGAGAAAGCUGCACGUCGCAGCAGCCUCAGAGGCUCAUUUGGGCUUCUGUUAGAACUGACAGUCACUGUUAAUAUUACUAGCAUGGAAGAAUACUUUUCAGCUAAUUAGGUUAAUUGGCAACAGGUCAGUUCCAUGACUGGAUAUAAAAAAGGAGCAUCUUGGAUAGUCGGCGUCUCCCGGAGGUAAAGACAGGUUCAUC
rnacentral:lncRNA from 1 species